rnacentral:rRNA from 1 species
UAUUGGACAAUGGGCGCAAGCCUGAUCCAGCAAUGCCGCGUGAGUGAUGAAGGCCUUCGGGUCGUAAAGCUCUUUUACCAGGGAUGAUAAUGACAGUACCUGGAGAAUAAGCUCCGGCUAACUCCGUGCCAGCAGCCGCGGUAAUACGGAGGGAGCUAGCGUUGUUCGGAAUUACUGGGCGUAAAGCGCGCGUAGGCGGCUACUCAAGUCAGAGGUGAAAGCCCGGGGCUCAACCCCGGAACUGCCUUUGAAACUAGGUGGCUAGAAUCUUGGAGAGGUCAGUGGAAUUCCGAGUGUAGAGGUGAAAUUCGUAGAUAUUCGGAAGAACACCAGUGGCGAAGGCGACUGACUGACAAGUAUUGACGCUGAGGUGCGA